rnacentral:rRNA from 1 species
CCGCCGCGCGCGGCGGGCCUACGGGAGGCAGCAGUGGGGAAUAUUGCACAAUGGGCGCAAGCCUGAUGCAGCCAUGCCGCGUGUAUGAAGAAGGCCUUCGGGUUGUAAAGUACUUUCAGCGGGGAGGAAGGUGUUGAGGUUAAUAACCUCAGCGAUUGACGUUACCCGCAGAAGAAGCACCGGCUAACUCCGUGCCAGCAGCCGCGGUAUA